GCCGGAGUGGCGGAAUUGGUAGACGCGCACGACUCAAAAUCGUGUCUCGUAAGGGGUGAGAGUUCGAUUCUCUCCUCCGGCACAA
rnacentral:tRNA from 2 species